rnacentral:rRNA from 1 species
AGGACGAACGCUGGCGGCGUGCUUAACACAUGCAAGUCGAACGGAAAGGCCCUUCGGGGUACUCGAGUGGCGAACGGGUGAGUAACACGUGGGUGAUCUGCCCUGCACUUUGGGAUAAGCCUGGGAAACUGGGUCUAAUACCGAAUAUACCCUGCUGGUCGCAUGGCCUGGUGGGGGAAAGCUUUUGCGGUGUGGGAUGGGCCCGCGGCCUAUCAGCUUGUUGGUGGGGUGAUGGCCUACCAAGGCGACGACGGGUAGCCGGCCUGAGAGGGUGUCCGGCCACACUGGGACUGAGAUACGGCCCAGACUCCUACGGGAGGCAGCAGUGGGGAAUAUUGCACAAUGGGCGCAAGCCUGAUGCAGCGACGCCGCGUGAGGGACGACGGCCUUCGGGUUGUAAACCUCUUUCAGUAGGGACGAAGCGCGAGUGACGGUACCUACAGAAGAAGGACCGGCCAACUACGUGCCAGCAGCCGC